CUCCCAAAGUGCUGGGAUUACAGGUGUGAGCCACCGUGCCCAGCCUUGAGCAACGCACUUAACCUCUCUGAGCCUCAGUGUCACUGACUGUAAAAUGGGGCCAGUAUAACAAAGGAGUGAAGAUAUGAUGUGUGUAUGUAAAGACGUAAAGAUAUAAUUAGGUAUGAUGUGAAAGUGCUCAAUAAAUACCCAUUUCCUUCUUCCUGUCCUUUUGCCCAGCUGCUCCCUUUUCUAGACUUUACCCUGACCAGUCAUGAGUGGAUCUUCUGAACCUGUUUCAUACUCUUUUUUUCUAGGAGUCUUUCUCAGACCAGCACAGCUUUGCUCUGAUCAGCCCAGUCACCCCCGCUGUCUUUCUGAAAAGGAGCACCUUGAAGCAGAGCCCAUCCUUCUCCUUACACCUCAGCACCCAGAACAGGAUUCAGGGAACAGAUGGGUUGGCCUUGGGGGAGAGACUCAAACUGGGGGUGAUGGACAGAAGUGGGAUGAGCUUAUUCCUGCUGCCCCAGAGCUCCAACCCCAGAGCAGAGGACAAGGAAGGGGGGGGCACAAAGGGAUCCAGGUAAUGUAGUGUGAAGAGCACUAGACUGGAAGGAGUUCAAAUACCGUGAACCAGCUGGGGGACAAUGGGCAUGCCAGAUUCUGCAAGCUCUGGACUCUGUCUGAAACAUAAGGGCCCACCUUUCCUGUACGUGCAAAGGCCUCAGCCACUUUCCGGUUCCGCCCUCCAUAGCAGGUAGUGAUCAGGUCAGCAACACCACAGCUCUCCAAGAAGGUGGCAGAGGACACAGGGCCACUGCAGAAGAGCUUGGCGAAGGCUAUCAUCUCCAUGAGUCCCAGCCGGAUCACUGCCGCCUUGGUGUUGUCGCCAAAGCCCAGGCCAUCACAGAAGCCAGCACCCACGGCCACUACAUUCUUGAAGGAGUGGAGGUCAUAGGUGAGAAAAGACCCUCUCCUGUAGGCCCCAUGUGGCACCCUCUCAUGUUCCUUUCAUCAGCCAGGACACCCACUGCAUAAGUGAGGUAUAGUGUGUGGGCUUUUAGAAGCUACUUCCGCCUCGUGGUUCCCCCCUUGCUGCACCCCCUUAAGCCCUGCCCCAUACUCCCUCCUUGAGGACAUUUUCUGAAAACCACUUUUCUCUCUAAUUGACCUUCACAUCUAUGACCAUUCCAUUGUAUAGCCCUCAAGUCAACAGCUGUCCAGGAUUCAUAGUUCUGGCCAUUAGUCUGUCUGGGUGUCAUGGAUGUCUUGUCUCCCAUUAACCCGGGCAUCUCCUUGUCCCCCUAGACCACCUCCUGGAGCCAGAGGAUAGGGAGUCCCACACAGGGCUAAAGUGGGAAAGGAGCAAGGGGGUCCACGGUCUGAUGAUGAACAAUCAGCCGGCCUGAAUGGCCCUGGCCUUGCUUCUGCAGCUCCUCCUGUAUGGAUGGGACAUGGUAGGAAAGGGGAACCACUGCUCAAUAGUGAGAACCUGGAGUCAAAGCCUGCAGGCAGAGCUCAGCUAGGCCUCCUUUGGGGCCUUCUCCUCACCCCAUAGCUGCCUCUGUGCCCCUCUCACCUUUAAGGCUCCACAGAUCUCUACUGUGUCCACCUCUUGCACCACUGUGAUACGGAAAUUGGGUGUCUGCAUCAGCUCUUUCAGAAGUUGUCCCUGGGCCGGGUCCUUGCAGCCUAAAGUGAGGAGGGGGCAAGGCUUUAAGGGAAGGACUCUGUAAAAAAUAUUUAUUUUAUAGAGACGGGGUUCUCUCUCUGUUGCCCAGGCUAGACUCAAACUCCUGGGCUUAAGCGAUCCUCUCGCCUCAGCCUCUUGAGUAGUUGGGACCACAGCUGUGCCACUGCACCGGCUCUCAGGAAGGGCUCAUCACUGUACUUCCCUAAGCAGGCCCUGCAGCCCCUUCCCUGGGGCUGUCCCAGCCUCCUUCACCUCUGAUGCUUGGCUCUUCCUUUCUCUGCUUUAUGGGAAGGAGACGGCUCAGUGGGGUUGGGGCAGUUUGGGGAGGGGAUGCAACUAGAUGCACUGUGUAUGUGGGUGGCAGGGGCUCUCACCAAUGGUUGUCUCACAGAACUUCUCAUCAGCCACCUCGCUGGCAAUGUUGGCCCCCAUCAGCACACUCAUCGGGAUGCCGAGGCGCUCCCCAAUCACUUCGGAGAUGAGCUUCAGCCCAUUGGGGCCCUCGUCUACCCCCUGAGCACAGGAUAGAGCUCAGGCCAGGUGCCCUUUGUGCCCACCUGCGGGCUUCCGCCCAGAAAUUCUGUCCCUUCCAAAUCCAUUGCUCAUCUGUGUCCCUCUCCACAGGUCCUGCCCCAUUCCUAGCUCAAGUUUGCUGUGAGGAGGCCAGACAGCAUGUGACAAACUGCCCUGCCACAUACCCUCAACCAAUCUCUCUCUCCAAGGCAACAGGUCCCCUCCACAUCCCUAGGCAAACUUCGCCUGACUUGCCCUAACAAACUGCCAUUCAGUGACCAGUCACUGCUCCAAACCAGCUACUCUUCACACUUCUCAAACCAGCCUGCUUCUCAUAUUCCCCAGGCAUUCCUUUACACCUCCCAAACUCCCUGAGAGACAGGACCUCCAAACCAAUCUCUUGUCUCCUCCCUUCAGCCUCCCUUCCAGUGACCCCCAGCACCUCACUGCUUUCCUAAGCCUCUCCAGAGUCAACUUCGUCUCUUUUCUCCGGCAAACUCUUGACCUCCGUCUGCCAUUUCUGUUCUUGCUUCACCCACUCUGAACCCCACAACGGUGAGCCGCACCCUCCCCCAUCCACAUGAAGGUGUCCCUGGCACCUUAAUAAGAGACAUGCCAAUGGUGUUUGCCUUCAGGUGGCCCUUGAGCUGGUCACAGAUCUUGCGGAUGAACUGAUGGGGCACCACAAAGAUCAGGAUGUCAGCAUCCGCUGCAGCCUGGAUCACAUCUGGGACAGCCACCUGUGGGAGUGACCAAGUGCUCGCGGGCCUGGCAGACGUCCCCUAGCCACUCUGGAACCCCAUUCAGGAGAUCUGGGAGCCAAAGAGUGAGGCUGGUAGGGGGCAGGAAGGCUUGUUUGAGACUGAAUCUAGAAGGACUGAACUUGGAGGAAUGACACUCUACUCCCUCCCCCCAGCCACCACGCGCUCUCCCUCCAGCUGUCCUGGGCUCUUGAGGACUCCUGGAAACCUCAUCCCAGCACUCUCCUAUCCCUUGGCUAUGGGACAGUGCGGGAGGCCAAAAGCAAACUGGGCUUGGCAGAAGAAAGAGCUCAAAUAAGAUUUCAUCACCCAGCUCUUCAGGGACCCUAGCUGGGAAGGGGGAGCCUCAGCUUUUCUGCUCUCUUCCCUGCUUCCCCUUUCCAGGUGGGGAGAACCACGUGGGUUUGACCAAAGACCGUAAGUCCAAGGAGCAGCCUCCAAGUCGGCUAAUAACUCGGUGAAUGAGUAACAGGAUUAGUGCCUGAGGCAGGCACUACCGGACCCCAAGUCUGGGAGCCCAGUCUUUGGCUGCCAUGGAGACCAACUUGUUCUCCCAUCCCUUCCCCACCCACCCGCCUGGCAGCCUGUGAGGGGAAAGCACAGGUUCUCCUCAGUCCUCAGGAAAGGGCCCAGAGCAGCCCUCCUGAGACCUUCCCAAGUCCUGCCGCACCUGAAGUGGCCCCUCAGCAGGAGACACCUGUUGAGUAAGGUCGGCUCCGACUCCUGGCCCUCCCUUCCUCUCCCCGUUCCUUGCAGGGUGUUGGGGCUCACCACAUUUGGGGGCAGCUUGUGCCCUGGCAGGUAUUUGACAUUCUCAUGCUGCGUGUUGAUGAUCUCAGUCAGCUUUUUGCCUCCAAUGUCUUCCUCAAACACCCACAUGGUCACCCGUGGGUCAAACUGUGCCAGCUGGGCUGCAUUGCCACCCACGAUCUUGGCGAUGGCUGAGCCCCUGGCAGGAGGGGGAGCCCAGGAAAGUACAGGAGGAGGGAACAGUGGCAAGAGUUGGGGCAGCGCCCCACCUCAGGAUCUCACAGCAGCCCCCCAGGCUGUUCACUCCUACCUUCCUUAUCACCUCCACUCCCAUGUCAAACAUGUCCCCAGUGACCUGGCAGUAGAAAGGAGACUCAGUCUCCUCACCCUUUGCUACUAGAGAAGGGAGCCCCCCUUCCCAUCUUCCCACCCCCAAACUCAAGCAGCUCUUCACAUGGAGCGCUCUGGAGACGCCUUCCUGUGGUGAACAGGUGCAGCUGCCCAGGCGGGCGGGGGCCAGGAGAGGGCCGGGCACCCUUUGUCCUGUGCUGCUGUGAUAGAAGAUAGCAGCAGGGGCUGAACAGGAACCUGAGAGCUUUUCCCACCCAUUCUGCCUCCUACCCACCUCUGUCCUGGGGGGCCUACCCUUCCCCCAUAUCACUUGACAGAGCCGCUUACCAGUUCCCGGAGCCUACAAUGCAGACUUUCUUGCUAGCCAUGGUGCCGCGUCUCUGCCUGAGCCGGCUCAGUGCCACACUCCCCAGCUCCUCUGCCGGCUAGGAGCAUUUAACUCCACCACACGUGGGUGCAGCCAAGCCCCGCCCUCCAGGGGUGGGUGGGGAGGCUGGCGCCCAGGGAGAUAGAGUCUGGCAGAGCCAGGGAAAGGAGAGACAGGGUACAGACAGGUGGGGAACAGGAAUGGGGCAGAGACUAGGCCCUGCUUUUCCUCCUGGGCUCAUCGGCUGACAGUGCUGGCAAGCUUCUUCCCUUGGUCCCAGCCCAGCUUCCCACCCCCUCCCCACCAUGGUCUCAUUUUGAGGUCUGCCAAGAAAAUAGCCCAGAUAAGGAGCAGGUGACUGGUCUCCCUCACUCCCUUCUGUCUCCCAGCAUAAAAUAAAUUGUAUUUAGCUUCAGUAGCAGCUAGGGGAGUGCCUUUCAGAGGUAGGCUCCUCCAUGACUCCCUAUCCCACACCCUGCCACAUACCCUCGCAGGACCCUGUUCCACAGUUCUGUCCUCUAGCAGGCCCACGCUAGCUGCACUGCAGGGCUGGGGUGGGGGAUGUGGGCCCACUUCCCGCCUCUAAAGAUGAGGCCACAUUAAGAGGUAAGGGCCUGUUUUGAGGACAGCUCAGCUCAAAAAAGGAUGCCCCAGGAGCCUCAAAAGACGAGGUUGUCUUGGUCACUCACAGAGGUCAUCUUGGGGACUCAUCCAUGGGCCUCUCACCUCAGAUGAUCCCCACCCAAAAAUGUGUUCUAGAGAAAGUGGGAAAGGUCAAAGUUAGAGGGCUCUGAGAAUUGCGGCACACAAUUUUGUUGUAGACUGUGGGCUUAAGAGGACAGGAAAGAAUAGGAGGCAGGCAGAGUGCACACUGUCCUUGAGAGGCUUUGAGCCUCCUUCAACUCCUCCUCUCAGGAGUUUCCAAGGUACUGCCCCAGGGGCUUCCUCAGGUGAAUGGCUAGUCUGCAGAGGCCAGAAAAGGGGAAGGGAGGCAGGACCCAGGGCAGCUGUGUCCGUGGGGCUUUGUGGUCUCAGAUGCCGUCACUGGGGGUAAGUUUGGUAUAUGUGUUUUGGGGAAGGGCGAGAUGGAAGGAACAUAGCAGUUCACGGCUCUGCAUCGCCCACAGCCAUCUGUUUGUCUAAGACGAGGGAAGCUCUGGUUUCCAGGCUGAUCUGGAGAGUGGAGCAAGAGGCUCCUAACACUGUGCACCUUGGCCUAGAGGGCAGACACCACCGUGUGCUCACGUGCUGUCCUCCUGGCUUGGCAGAUAUUUAGGUGGGUGUUGCCAUCCCCCUGGGCUGCUGCUGGCCAGCAACUGGUAACAAGCACUGGGCUAGAGGGAAGUCUGGGCACAACCUGUGGGUAGGGGUAAGCAGGCAGGAGGUCAAGACUGGGAAGAAAUGGCUUUCUAAGUUCCAGGGACUGCCCAGGAAAAACCAACCAUAUUCUCCUUCCAUGGCCAGUGAGUUCCCAUAGGGAAACGGACAUGAAAUCAGUAGUUGGCUGUUUUUCUUUGCACAAUGUUAUACCUAAUACGGAGACAGCCUCCCACAGACCACUCCUUUAUUGCACUGGCACUGAGAUGAAGGCUCCAGUGCCAGGCUGCCAGCUGGGAGCACUGAUUACGGGUGAUGGAAGAGAAAGGAUGCUUCUGUCCCUGGCACAAAUGAUGAGAGCCCCAAAGAAUGGAUGUUUAUGCAUAAAAUAACCCCCUUGUUUUUGCCUAAA